rnacentral:rRNA from 1 species
AAAGGAGCUUGGCUUUUUAGAGACCGGCGCAAGGGGUGACUAACGGGUAUGCAACCUACCUAAUACAGGGGAAUAGCCCGAAAAAAUUCGGAUUAAUGCUCCAUGGUUUAUCGAUAUGGCAUCGUAUUGAUAAUAAAGAUUUAUCGGUAUAAGAUGGGCAUGCGUAUCAUUAGCUAGUUGGUGUGGUAACGGCAUACCAAGGCAACGAUAAUAAGGGGUCCUGAGAGGGAGAUCCCCCACACUGGUACUGAAACACGGACCAGACUCCUACGGGAGGCAGCAGUGAGGAAUAUUGGUCAAUGGAGGCAACUCUAAACCAGCCAUGCCGCGUGCAGGAUGACGGUCCUAUGGAUUGUAAACUGCUUUUGUACAGGAAAAAACCUCUCUACGUGUAGGGACUUGACGGUACUGUAAAAAUAAGGAUCGGCUAACUCCGUGCCAGCAGCCGCGGUAAUACGGAGGAUCCGAGCGUUAUCCGGAAUUAUUGGGUUUAAAGGGUUCGUAGGCGGCUUUGUAAGUCAGUGGUGAAAUUUCUUAGCUUAACUAGGACACUCCCAUUGAUACUGCAUAGAUUGAAUAAUAUGGAAUUAACUACAAAAUGUAGUGUAGCGGGGGAAAUGCUUAAAUAUUACAGGAAAUACAAGUUGCA